AAGAAGAAGAAGAAAAAGAAGAAGAAGAAAAAGAAGAAAAAGAAGAAGAAGAAGAAGAAGUAGAAGAAGAAGAAGUAAAUGAUGAUGAAGGAAGAAGAAGGAAGAGUAAGGGACCCCGAAAGAUGUGAAAGGCAAAUUCGACCUCGGCAGCAUUUGAAUUCAAGACACAAAGCCAGAAGAAAUGCUGUGACGCAUCUUACGUGCUUACCAUUCUGCCAGCUCACCGCCUUCGCAAGUUCUUGAGAGAGUUCAAGCCGGUUGCUAACAAAACAGCCAAAGUAUUUGAGUUAAGACAGACGAAAUACCGCUAACCAUUUCAGCCGGAGUGCUAACGUUUCUGCCAGCUCGCCACCUUUAGAUCAUAGAUAUUGCCAUACCUGGGGAACAACGAGUGGAUGACAAAGAACUGGAAGAGAUUACAAAAUACAAGCCACUAACAGAUGGGACUGUACGAAUAAAAGGCAAUGAAGAAAGUAACAUAUAUCCUAGCAGAAAUAUUUUCGUGGUCAGGCGAAUGCAAAUUAAUAUUUCUCAUUUCCCAGCUUUUGAUGAACCAUAGGUAGAAGUUUCCGCGUCAUAUUGAAACAAGACUGAGUUUUAUAAAUAGCUCAUAGGCGUCUACUUAAACAUCUACUUACCAACUACACCAUACUUUGCUGUCGAAAUACACCUGAAGUCGUUACUCUACUUUAAAAUAUCAGAGACAUUUCCCAGUUGUUCUCUCCUGCCCUGCUAAACUAGAAUUAGUCAAUUUGCUAAUGAACUAUUUACACCACUGUGAAUAAAGU